CCUUCUGAUGUGCAGCAGGGUUUGCACUGGGUCUUGCUGCUGCUCCGUGGGAAGGCCAGAGAGCUACUGCCAUGGGUUGUCCCACAGAACCAACACUCUGGAUCAGACCCAAUGUUUGCCUUCUUAUGUCCCUCCAUUCACCUGUUCUGUGAAUAGCCAUGAAUAUGGAGAAAAAAUGCAUCAUCAAAGCCGGCAGAAUGCAAAAAUCUUUCUGCAGAGACCCCAGCGAAUGACAGAAAUUGAAAAUUAAAGGAGAAAACCAGCAAUGGAACAUUAAGAACAUUUGCUACCCUUGUCUUCUGUUUCAAUAUGGAAUUAUUGAAAGUGUUUAUAGUGAAACUGGAAAUCACAGACCUGCUGCUCCUGCUUUCAUUACAGCCUGAAAGCUGGGCAUCGUUCCGAGCUACGUUCCUCUGAAUAAGUUCUGACCUUUCAGUGGAUUCCCAUCGUUUUCAGCAGUAUGUACUCACGUGACACAGGGAUAAAGCUAAAUUGCAGGACUUUAUCCUAGGAAAUGCAGCAAGUAUAAGCUCUUUUCCCCAAUACAGUUCUU
ensembl:lncRNA